GUGCUCAUUUUGGCAGCACAUAUACUAAAACUGGAGCAGUACAGAGAAAAUUAGCUUGGUCCCUGUGCAAGGAUGACAUGCAAAAAGAAUGGUUCAGCAGCACAUUUUU